rnacentral:lncRNA from 1 species
UUUAUCAUGAAUUGUACCUUCAUUGUAUCUUAAUGUCACGUAGGAGCUGGUUGGAGACUGAAUGCCCUUAAAGUAAUGUGAUGUUUGAGACAUUCUGCUGGAAUGGAGAACUGACCUUCAGGCUGAGGCAGCAUUUCCACAGUUCCUCCUGGCCCCAGUCAAUUAUGCACAGAUGGUACAAAGGGUUCAUUCAGCAGGAGAACCUCAGGCCUAGCAGCCAGUGCAAGCCCUGCAGCAGUGGGCAGAUCUUUGGAAAAGACCUGGAGAGGAGCAGCAGGCAGAGGUGGCUCCUUAAAAAACAGAGCAGCACUUGACCACCAUUGCCUCUCAGGCCUCCCACUGAUCCCAUUAGAGUAAGCAUUUCUCCAGGCCGCGGUCUGCUUUCGUCUCUAUCUGUACCCCCAGGCAUCCGUCCAUGCCUGGCCCUUGGAAACUGCUCAUAGUGUUGAAUGAAUGCACUGAUGAAAGAAUGAAUUGGAAAACCUAGUUUCCCCAGUGCUAUCAAAUUCUACUUUUCAGUCCUUUU